GACGAACGCUGGCGGCGUGCUUAACACAUGCAAGUCGAGCGAGGAACUUCGGUUCCUAGCGGCGGACGGGUGAGUAACACGUGGGCAACCUGCCUCACAAUGGGGGAUAGCCUUCCGAAAGGAAGAUUAAUACCCCAUAACACAAAGGAAACGCAUGUUUCUUUUGCCAAAGAAUUUCGUUGUGAGAUGGGCCCGCGGCGCAUUAGCUUGUUGGUGAGGUAACGGCUCACCAAGGCUUCGAUGCGUAGCCGACCUGAGAGGGUGAUCGGCCACAUUGGAACUGAGGCACGGUCCAGACUCCUACGGGAGGCAGCAGUGGGGAAUAUUGCACAAUGGAGGAAACUCUGAUGCAGCAACGCCGCGUGAGUGAUGAAGGUCUUCGGAUUGUAAAGCUCUGUCUUCUGGGACGAUAAUGACGGUACCAGAGGAGGAAGCCACGGCUAACUACGUGCCAGCAGCCGCCGUAACAC
rnacentral:rRNA from 1 species